ACUCCCGUGCUGAUCAGUAGUGG
rnacentral:piRNA from 2 species